rnacentral:tRNA from 1 species
GCCUCCGUGGUGAAACGGAUAUCACGAAACGCUUCGGACGUUUUGUUGAAGGUUCGAAUCCUUCCGGAGGCA